rnacentral:rRNA from 1 species
GUGCCAGCAGCCGCGGUAAUACGUAGGGCGCAAGCGUUAUCCGGAAUUAUUGGGCGUAAAGAGCUCGUAGGCGGUUUGUCGCGUCUGCUGUGAAAACGCGGGGCUCAACUCCGCGCCUGCAGUGGGUACGGGCAGACUAGAGUGCGGUAGGGGAGAUUGGAAUUCCUGGUGUAGCGGUGGAAUGCGCAGAUAUCAGGAGGAACACCGAUGGCGAAGGCAGAUCUCUGGGCCGUGACUGACGCUGAGGAGCGAAAGGGUGGGGAGCAAACAGGCUUAGAUACCCUGGUAGUCCACCCCGUAAACGUUGGGAACUAGUUGUGGGGGCCUUUCCACGGUCUCCGUGACGCAGCUAACGCAUUAAGUUCCCCGCCUGGGGAGUACGGCCGCAAGGCUAAAACUCAAAGGAAUUGACGGGGACCCGCACAAGCGGCGGAGCAUGCGGAUUAAUUCGAUGCAACGCGAAGAACCUUACCAAGGCUUGACAUACACCGGAAACGUCCAGAGAUGGUCGCCCCUUUUUGGUCGGUGUACAGGUGGUGCAUGGUUGUCGUCAGCUCGUGUCGUGAGAUGUUGGGUUAAGUCCCGCAACGAGCGCAACCCUCGUUCUAUGUUGCCAGCACGUUAUGGUGGGAACUCAUGGGAUACUGCCGGGGUCAACUCGGAGGAAGGUGGGGAUGACGUCAAAUCAUCAUGCCCCUUAUGUCUUGGGCUUCACGCAUGCUACAAUGGCCGGUACAAUGGGCUG